rnacentral:rRNA from 1 species
UACAGAGGGUGCAAGCGUUGUUCGGAAUUAUUGGGCGUAAAGCGUGCGCAGGCGGUUCGUUGUGUCCGAUGUGAAAGCCCCGGGCUUAACCUGGGAAUGGCAUUGGAAACUGGCGAGCUUGAGUGCGGCAGAGGGGGGUGGAAUUCCGCGUGUAGCAGUGAAAUGCGUAGAGAUGCGGAGGAACACCGAUGGCGAAGGCAGCCCCCUGGGUCGACACUGACGCUCAGGCACGAAAGCGUGGGGAGCAAACAGG